GGAGAGGUGGCAGAGUGGUCGAUUGCGGCGGUCUUGAAAACCGUUAUUCCCAGAGAUGGGAAUCAAGGGUUCGAAUCCCUUCCUCUCCUCCA
rnacentral:tRNA from 1 species